rnacentral:rRNA from 1 species
GCGGAAUGCUUUACACAUGCAAGUCGAACGGCAGCACGGACUUCGGUCUGGUGGCGAGUGGCGAACGGGUGAGUAAUGCGUAGGAAGCUGCCCGAUAGAGGGGGAUACCAGUUGGAAACGACUGUUAAUACCGCAUAAUGUCUACGAACCAAAGUGUGGGACCUUCGGGCCACAUGCUAUCGGAUGCGCCUACGUGGGAUUAGCUAGUUGGUGAGGUAAUGGCUCACCAAGGCGACGAUCUCUAGCUGGUUUGAGAGGAUGAUCAGCCACACUGGAACUGAGACACGGUCCAGACUCCUGCGGGAGGCAGCAGUAGGGAAUCAUCCGCAAUGGGCGAAAGCCUGACGGUGCAACGCCGCGUGAGUGAGGAAGGUUUUCGGAUCGUAAAGCUCUGUUGUGAGGGAAGAACAGCUUCCGGAGGAAAUGCCGGAGGUUUGCCGGUACCUCACCAGAAAGCCCCGGCUAACUACGUGCCAGCCGCCGCCGUAA